rnacentral:rRNA from 1 species
AGAGGAUACCAGAAGUUGUUAGGCUAACCGUAAGGAGGCCGAUUACCACGGUAUGUUUUAUAACUGGGGUGAAGUCGUAACAAGGUAGCAGUAGGUGAACCUGCAGAAGGAUCA